UGUAAGCGUAUACCAAAGUUGUUGCAGUUAAAACGCUCGUAGUCGGAAUUUGGCAGUUCCGGAUGUGUGCACGUCGUGUGCGCACUUCGCGGGGAUUGCUUUUGUGGUCUUGCGUAGGAUGAGGCACUUUUAUUAGUGAACGUCCUCACGCAACCACUUUUUACUGUGAGAAAAUCAGAGUGCUCAAAGCAGGCAUUUGCCGUGAAUGUAUUAGCAUGGAAUCAUAGAAUAGGACUUGGUUCUAUUUUGUUGGUUUGUUGGGACUGAGUAAUGAUUAAGAGGGACAGUUGGGGGCAUUUGUAUUUCGGUGCUAGAGGUGAAAUUCUUAGAUUACCGAAAGACAAACUGCUGCGAAAGCGUCUGCCAAGGAUGUUUUCAUUGA
rnacentral:rRNA from 1 species